ensembl:lncRNA
ACUAGAAUACAGUAUAUAUACAUUGUGUAAAACAGUACGAAAACAUUAAUAAAGUGACAAGUGUUCAACGAAUCCAUGUACACAAGGCAGCAGGCUCUAAGGUUCAGGGCAGGGUGCUGGGUGGAGGGCGACUAGUAACAGUGACUAAGGUUCAGGGCAGGGUGCUGGGUGGAGGCCGACUAGUAACAGUGACUAAGGUUCAGGGCAGGGUGCUGGGUGGAGGCCGACUAGAAACAGGCUCUAAGGUUCAGGGCAGGGUGCUGGGUAGAGGCCGACUAGUAACAGUGACUAAGGUUCAGGGCAGGGUGCUGGGUGGAGGGUAGCUAGUAACAGGCUCUGAGGUUCAGGGCAGGGUGCUGGGUGGAGGGUAGCUAGUAACAGGCUCUGAGGUUCAGGGCAGGGUGCUGGGUGGAGGCCGACUAGAAACAGUAACUAAGGUUCAGGGCAGGGUACUUGGUGGAGGCUGGAUAGUGACAAUGAGUAAGGUUCAGGGCAGGGUGCUGGGUGGAGGGUAGCUAGAAACAGUGACUAAGGUUCAGGCUAGGGUACUGGGUGGAGGGUAGCUAGAAACAGUGACUAAGGUUCAUGGCAGGGUACUGGGUUGAUGCCGGCAAGUGGUGACUAAGGUUCAGGGCAGGGUACUGAGUGGAGGAAAGCUAGUAACUGUGACGAAUGUUCGGGGCAGGGUACUGAGUGGAGGCUGGA